CUGAGCCACAUCCUUUUAGGUGGCUUUAGUAUCAACUGCAUGAAGUAGGGGUAAAUGAAGCUGAGACGGGAAGCUGGGGAAAAGCCUGAGAUCAAACGGUGAAACACUUUGAGCAAAAGGUUAUUUUGGACGGAAGAGGGUGGUACUCGGAUUGUUUCCACAUGGCUAACCUGUGCUAAAAGAGUUGCACGUGGGCACUGCCACUUUCAUCUAAAUGUCAAUGAUAAAGUCAAUGAAGAGCAGAAAAAGAGAAAGGAACAUGAGCUCCAGGAAGGCCAGGACCUGCAUACAUCGUCAAGCCCAGUGCCUGCCUGCCCACAGGGUUCACUUUUUCAGUUUUGACUGAAAUACAUAGUUGAUCAGCCAAUGCAGAAAAUAAAUUCUGAUAAAAUUAGACUACAUCCCUUCAGCAGCUUACUGGCCACAAAUAGUUGGAUUUCCCAUUUCAAAGACUUAAUUUCUACAGUAAAACGGUAGAUGAAUGGUUUAUAAAAAUACAAAAGAUGACAGCAUAUAUAAUACAUUUUAUUUAUGAAAUGACUAUGUUCACUACAUAGUUCGAUUUGUUAAGGAGGCUAGUUUUGUUUUUUUAACCCUACGUGAAUUUCCUGUCUAAAAUUUCCUGUUUAAAAUUCCUAAGCUUGAUAAUCCUCUACCUUCAGUGAUGUUUCUUUUUAUAACAAAUUUUUCUUGGUAAAUGUCAUGUUAACAUCAAAGACCCCAGUGCC